rnacentral:rRNA from 1 species
ACAAAAACAUGUCUCUUUGGUGUAUUUAUAUAAAGAGUUUAACCUGCCCGGUGAUUAUUAUUUAACGGCCGCAGUACUUUGACUGUGCGAAGGUAGCAUAAUUAUUUGCCUUAUAAUUGAAGGCUUGUAUGAAUGGUUUGACGAGAAUGAGUCUGUCUUAAUUUAAUUUUUUUGAAUUUAACUUAUAAGUGAAGAGGCUUUUAUUUAAUUGAUAGACAAGAAGACCCUGUCGAGCUUGAUUUUUUAUAUAUAAAUGUAUAUUUUUAUAUUAUUUAUAGAUUUUAGUUGGGGUGACUGAGGAAGUAUAUGAGUUUCCUUAUAAUUAUUUAAAUUUGUUGGUUUUGAUCCUUUUUUUAUGAUUAGUAGAAUUAGCUACCGCAGGGAUAACAGCAUAAUCUUUUUUGAGAGUUCAUAUCGAAAAAUUGGUUUGUGACCUCGAUGUUGGAUUAAAAUUUCCUAAAGGUGCAGAAGUUUUUAAGGGUUAGUCUGUUCGACUAUUAAAAUUUUACAUGAGCUGAG